rnacentral:misc_RNA from 1 species
AACCUUAUGGACCUGCGGGCGUAUACCUGCGGAAGGAUCAUUACUGUGCCUUCGGGGGCAAGCUUUCCCUCUGGACAGCUGGAACGGCGCCUUGGCGGCCCGUUCGGGCUGGCGGCGGCGGGUUGGGGAGCCCAGUGGGCUCCCGAGCCGGCACGUCGAUCGAGCUUGCCCUGUCUGAACACCUCCCUUGCUUUUUGCGUACCCCCCGUUUCCUCGGCAGGCUGGCCUGUCCGCAGGACC